GAUAUCACCAUUUGUGUGGAGAGGGUUAAUGGGCAGGAAAAUAAAUAUUGCUAUAAAACAAGCCCUUAUAGAUGUGGUGUUCCAGAAUUCAAUUGGUUUUACUUGGGCUUAAGCAUGGUAUACCGUGGAUUCCUGCUGAGAGCAGGAGCGCACGGCGUCA